AAGUCGUAACAAGGUAACCGUAGGUGAACCUGCGGUUGGAUCAUUAGCGUUUUUAGCAGCGCGCCGUUGUUGUGACCGUUUGUGGAGGGUAGUGUUUCGUUUUGUGUGUGGUGUUUGUCUUGUGUGUUUUGUGUUUUGUCUUUUGUCGUUUGUCUUUUAUGGUUGGUGUUCGUCGUUUGACUUGUCGUUUGUCUUGUCGUUUGUGUUUCAUCUAUAUUUAUAUCUAUAUCUAUAUCUAUGACCACAUCGACAUCGACAUCCACAUCGACAACCACAAGCCUCAUGGACAUGGACAUGGACAUGGACAACCAUAAACCUCAUGGACAGCCACUUCCAAAACUGAAACACGACUCUCGACUACACGCCAAUAAACACUUUUCUUUGCUUUGAUUUCGACUAAACUAAAACAACUUUUGACAACGGAUCUCUUGGCUCUC
rnacentral:misc_RNA from 1 species